UAGGGAGACCUAAUCCAUUUAGAAAUCGAAAACAAUGAAAAUUGUCAAUAGAAACUAAAUUGGUCUAACCCAGGUCGUUCGAGAUUGGUAGACAUCUUUCAGAGUAUUAUUCGGCUUCGUUCAAAACCAUAUAUAAUAAAUGGAAAAAGACAGCACCUAAUUGUCAAAGUUAGACUGCUGGAUGAAGUUCCAGCCAGAACCUUGAAAACUGCAUAAGAGAACAAGAAAAAGCAGGCAGACACAGACAUUUAGAUGGAUGUGGAAGCAAAAGAAAUUGU
rnacentral:misc_RNA from 1 species